UAUAGAGGUCUCAAGCGUUGUUCGGAUUCAUUGGGCGUAAAGGGUGCGUAGGCGGCGCGGUAAGUCGGGUGUGAAAUCUUGGAGCUUAACUCCGAAACUGCAUUCGAUACUGCCGUGCUUGAGGACUGGAGAGGAGACUGGAAUUUACGGUGUAGCGGUGAAAUGCGUAGAUAUCGUAAGGAAGACCAGUGGCGAAGGCGGGUCUCUGGACAGUUCCUGACGCUGAGGCACGAAGGCCAGGGGAGCAAACGGG
rnacentral:rRNA from 1 species